GGUGUGGCAAUAUUUUGGGAUUAUAGAUCCGGAUCCUAAUCAAACCAAACUCAGACUCAAAUUUUUUGGAUUGGGGCUGGAUUAUAUAUAGACCCAACCCGAUCCGAAUGACCGAUUAGAGCAAAAUUUUUAUCCAUAGAGCUGAGUAAAUCUGAUCCAAUCUUCUAUUUGGAUUGAGUUUGGGUUUAAUAUUAAAACUUGAUCAAGG
rnacentral:lncRNA from 1 species